rnacentral:ncRNA from 2 species
UUCUGUGGCUGGGGGCGCCGAAAGGCUGAGAUGUUACCCUUGGAACCUGACGUGGUUAGUACCACCGUAGGGAUAGCUUAUAUAGUAAGUA